CUAUCCCUGGAGGCAUUGCAGGGGUGGCUGCUGUGUCACAUGUGUGUCCUGAGAGGAGAG
ensembl:snoRNA Gm24298 predicted gene, 24298